UACAGAGGUCUCAAGCGUUGUUCGGAUUCAUUGGGCGUAAAGAGCUCGUAGGCGGCUUGUUGCGUCGACUGUGAAAUCCCGCGGCUUAACUGCGGGCUUGCAGUUGAUACGGGCAGGCUGGAGUUCGGUAGGGGAGACUGGAAUUCCUGGUGUAGCGGUGAAAUGCGCAGAUAUCAGGAGGAACACCGGUGGCGAAGGCGGGUCUCUGGGCCGAUACUGACGCUGAGGAGCGAAAGCGUGGGGAGCGAACAGG
rnacentral:rRNA from 1 species